UAAAUUAUAAUCUUAACCAUUCAAAGUUGAAUUAAUCAAUACAGACAUAUCUGCAAAAGAUUAAUGCAAACAAGAGACACGAGAGACACGUGUUUUUUUUUUUUUUUCUACACCUACGUUCUUUUUCUUCCUUCCUCUUCUACACCUCCAAAGGUCCCUGCGGCUUCUCUGGCGAAGCUUCUUCUUCCUUCCUUUUCGACGCCGCCAAAGGUACCUACGGCUUCUUCGGCGAAGGGUCAUAUAGCCUCUGCAGCUUCUCCGGCACAGCGGAGAGCAUGGACGGGGCUCGCCGGAGCUUAGGGUUCGUUAGUUCGUUUUUCAUUAAUUUGUUAUUUAUAGUGGUAUGUAUGGUACGUCUUCUACUAGCUUUGUGUGGUGGGAUAUGACUCCUAAAGUUAUUGCUUCUAACCGUAAAGAAGACACUUGGGUCUUCAGUUUAGGGUUCAUUAGUUCAUUUUGGCUCAGUUCCUUUCCGUUGUAACUUCUCUAAAUUCUUUAACAAGUUUUUGUACGGAGAAAUACUUGUGUCCGGAUUAGCAUAUACGUGUGCGUCCGAACUCUCUUAUUUAUAUACUUUUGUUAAUGUAAAUUAUAAUCUUAACCAUUCAAAGUUGAAUUAAUCAAUAAAGAUCACAUAUGCAAAAGAUUAAUGCAAACAAGAGACACGUGUCUUUUUUUUUUUCACACCUGCGUUCUUCUUCUUCCUUCCUCUUCUACACCUCCGAAGAUCCCUGCGGCUUCUCCUGCGAAGCUUCUUCUUCCUUUCUCUGGCGAAGCUUCUUCUUCCUUCCUUUUCGACGCCGCCGAAGGUCCCUGCGGCUUCUCCGGCGAAGGGUCAUAUAGCCUCUGCGGCUUCUCCGGCACAGCGGAGAGCAUGGACGGGACCACCACCCUAAGCUUCUGCAAGCGGCCGGGGGGAUCGCCAUAGGUGAAAUAUGAGAGGGUUUUUGGUUUGCAUUGUCAUGGUGGUCGACGACAGCGUCGAAGAGGAAGAAGAAGCUUUGUUGAAGAAGAGGAAGGAAGAAGAACACAGGUGUGAAAAACAAAAAAAAACAAAAAAAGACACGUGUCGGAUUUCAAAUGGCUGAUUGCAUGAGACAACUAACACGAUCGUCGCAUGCAAGAAUUUUUCUACAAACAAAUAUAUCAAAGAAAUGAACAACUGAUUAUAAAAUUGCUAACUUUCAGCUGAACUGUACAGUACUACACUAGUCGUGGACCGAUGUGGGUUGCACUCGAUAAGUGCAUGACUGCUCAUUCUAGACAGUACCUCUUAUUAGCGACC
rnacentral:lncRNA from 1 species